rnacentral:lncRNA from 1 species
UUGGAGAAAAUCUUUGUUCCAUCUGACCUUUUUGAAAGGAAGAAAACAGAUCUAAGUACGAUGAUUUCAUCACAACUCAAAUGGAUUCAUUGGUCAAGCAACUUAAAAAUUUUAACAAAUAUUAUGAUAAGAUUAAGAUUUCUCAAUGCACUUAAAAGUAAAGCAAGCGUUGCAACUAUAAAUAUAUGAAAAAGAUGCAUUGAUGCCAAAGAGCAAUUGAUGCAAUAAAAAACCAUGCAUAUAGGGC